GACGAACGCUGGCGGCGUGCUUAACACAUGCAAGUCGAACGGAAAGGCCCUGCUUGCAGGGUACUCGAGUGGCGAACGGGUGAGUAACACGUGGGUGAUCUGCCCUGCACUUCGGGAUAAGCUUGGGAAACUGGGUCUAAUACCGGAUAGGAGCCAUCUUUAGUGUGGUGGUUGGAAAGUUUUUUCGGUGUAGGAUGAGCUCGCGGCCUAUCAGCUUGUUGGUGGGGUAAUGGCCUACCAAGGCGGCGACGGGUAGCCGGCCUGAGAGGGUGUACGGCCACAUUGGGACUGAGAUACGGCCCAGACUCCUACGGGAGGCAGCAGUGGGGAAUAUUGCACUAUGGGCGCAAGCCUGAUGCAGCGACGCCGCGUGGGGGAUGAAGGCCUUCGGGUUGUAAACUCCUUUCGCUAGGGACGAAGCUUUGUUGUGACGGUACCUAGAUAAGAAGCACCGGCUAACUACGUG
rnacentral:rRNA from 1 species